GCCAGCAGCCAUAUCACUCUGCAUCUCACAACUGGCAACCCACUGAAGCUAAGCAGGUCUGAGCCUGGUUAGUACCUGCAUGAGAGACCUCCUAGGAAAAACUAAGGUUUCUGCUGGAA
rnacentral:rRNA from 2 species